GUUUAUCACACGAGCUCUACAUAUCAGAUAUAUCGAAGGAUAUUUGAUAGGAAAACAAUAUGUAUUGGUUAAAUUGGUUACAUACUGUUUGACCAUAAACGACCAUAAAGAUUUAAAGGGCCUUUAUUUUGUUAUGGCAUACGUGUGGAGCGUCAUUGCGUCAGAUCAGCUGGGCGAAGGGAGAAACGUUGGGAACAGCCCACUUGAGAAUGUUUUUGAUUUUCAAGAAAGAUUUAGAUUCGUGUGUAUAAAUAUCUGACAUGGUUUUCUGACGUGUCAAAGAUAUAGCUACAACAGUUUCAGUUUGUGAGUGGCCGUUUCCUAUUUUCAAUCAAAACCAUGGAAACGAACGGAGCAGCUCUGCCCGGGCAUCAAUGAGGAAGGGAAGAAAUACGCAGCGAGAUCCCGGUAUCAGCCAGAAGCGCAUCUCGUGAAGCGGAUAAAUGCCCUCGCGUGAAGAGCCGUUGCCGCGAAAAAGGAACACAUGUCGUUCUUGGACUGCUCCUGCAUCUCCUCCCACUCUCAGGUCCAGCCAAUCAGCAUAGAGGACCAGUAUGAGGACGUCAGUCAACAAUGCCUG